rnacentral:rRNA from 1 species
UGGAGGCAGCAGUGGGGAAUUGUUCGCAAUGGGCGCAAGCCUGACGACGCAACGCCGCGUGGAGGAUGAAGGUCUUCGGAUUGUAAACUCCUGUUGCCCGGGACGAAUGGCCUCGACCUAACACGUCGAGGUGUGACGGUACCGGGUGAGGAAGCCCCGGCUAACUCUGUGCCAGCAGCCGCGGUAAUACAGAGGGGGCAAGCGUUGUUCGGAAUUACUGGGCGUAAAGGGCGCGUAGGCGGCCUGCUAAGUCGAACGUGAAAUCCCCGAGCUCAACUCGGGAACUGCGUCCGAUACUGGUUGGCUUGAAUCCGGGAGAGGGAUGCGGAAUUCCAGGUGUAGCGGUGAAAUGCGUAGAUAUCUGGAGGAACACCGGUGGCGAAGGCGGCAUCCUGGACCGGCAUUGACGCUGAGGCGCGAAAGCCAGGGGAGCAAACGGGAUUAGAUACCCCGGUAGU